rnacentral:rRNA from 1 species
GUAGGGAAUCUUCGGCAAUGGACGAAAGUCUGACCGAGCAACGCCGCGUGAGUGAAGAAGGUUUUCGGAUCGUAAAACUCUGUUGGUAGAGAAGAACGUUGGUGAGAGUGGAAAGCUCAUCAAGUGACGGUAACUACCCAGAAAGGGACGGCUAACUACGUGCCAGCAGCCGCGGUAAUACGUAGGUCCCGAGCGUUGUCCGGAUUUAUUGGGCGUAAAGCGAGCGCAGGUGGUUUAUUAAGUCUGGUGUAAAAGGCAGUGGCUCAACCAUUGUAUGCAUUGGAAACUGGUAGACUUGAGUGCAGGAGAGGAGAGUGGAAUUCCAUGUGUAGCGGUGAAAUGCGUAGAUAUAUGGAGGAACACCGGUGGCGAAAGCGGCUCUCUGGCCUGUAACUGACACUGAGGCUCGAAAGCGUGGGGAGCAAACAGGAUUAGAUACCCUGGUAGUCC